GACGAACGCUGGCGGCGUGCUUAACACAUGCAAGUCGAACGGAAAGGCCCCUUUGGGGGUACUCGAGUGGCGAACGGGUGCGUAACACGUGAGUAACCUGCCCUUGACUUCGGGAUAACUUCAGGAAACUGGGGCUAAUACCGGAUAGGAAUCCUUGCUGCAUGGUGGGGGUUGGAAAGCUUCGGCGGUUUUGGAUGGACUCGCGGCUUAUCAGCUUGUUGGUGGGGUAGUGGCUUACCAAGGCUUUGACGGGUAGCCGGCCUGAGAGGGCGACCGGCCACAUUGGGACUGAGAUACGGCCCAGACUCCGACGGGAGGCAGCAGUGGGGAAUAUUGCACAAUGGGCGGAAGCCUGAUGCAGCAACGCCGCGUGCGGGAUGACGGCCUUCGGGUUGUAAACCGCUUUCAGCAGGGGCGAAGCUUGUGGUGACGGUACCUGCAGAAGAAGCACCGGCUAACUACGUG
rnacentral:rRNA from 1 species